rnacentral:miRNA from 1 species
UCACUAUGCAGAUUAGGCUGGCCUUGAACUCACUUUGUAGCCCAGGCUGGCCUCGAACUCAAAGCGAUCCUCCUGCCUCAGCCUCCCGAGUGCUGGGAUUACAGGCAUGUGCCACCAUGCCCG